GACGAACGCUGGCGGCGUGCUUAACACAUGCCAGUCGUACGGUAAGGCCCUUUCGGGGGUACACGAGUGGCGAACGGGUGAGUAACACGUGAGUAACCUGCCCACAACUUUGGGAUAACGCUAGGAAACUGGUGCUAAUACUGGAUAUGUGCUCCUGCUGCAUGGUGGGGGUUGGAAAGUUUCGGCGGUUGGGGAUGGACUCGCGGCUUAUCAGCUUGUUGGUGGGGUAGUGGCUUACCAAGGCUUUGACGGGUAGCCGGCCUGAGAGGGUGACCGGCCACAUUGGGACUGAGAUACGGCCCAGACUCCUACGGGAGGCAGCAGUGGGGAAUAUUGCACAAUGGGCGGAAGCCUGAUGCAGCAACGCCGCGUGCGGGAUGACGGCCUUCGGGUUGUAAACCGCUUUCGCCUGUGACGAAGCGUGAGUGACGGUAAUGGGUAAAGAAGCACCGGCUAACUACGUG
rnacentral:rRNA from 1 species